rfam:Aedes albopictus isolate Foshan contig140500, whole genome shotgun sequence.
UGCCCAGCAACUCCUAUCCCUACCUCCAUGCGGUACCGGCCGGAAACUAUGAGCAACCUUAGGGAAGAUCGGGUAACCAACCCCGGUGGGAACUUUGGUCGUAGGCUGACAGGGAAGG